rnacentral:lncRNA from 1 species
GCCGACGUGGUAGACCAAGUCUAUCUAAGUUCCAUCGAUGGCAUGUUAUGUCUAUAAUGUACGGUCAAUUAUUGGUUGGAUCUAAUCGAAAGAUCAUAAAUUAUUUAAUUCUUUUUUUUCUUUAUUUUUCCUCCUCAACAUACGCCUUAUCAUCAUGUAUUUAAUAUCUUCUCCUCCUUUAGCAACACGCGUCACGGUG